rnacentral:rRNA from 1 species
UACGAAGGGGGCUAGCGUUGCUCGGAAUCACUGGGCGUAAAGCGCACGUAGGCGGCUUCUUAAGUCAGGGGUGAAAUCCUGGAGCUCGAACUCCAGAACUGCCUUUGAUACUGAGAAGCUUGAGUCCGGGAGAGGUGAGUGGAACUGCGAGUGUAGAGGUGAAAUUCGUAGAUAUUCGCAAGAACACCAGUGGCGAAGGCGGCUCACUGGCCCGGUACUGACGCUGAGGUGCGAAAGCGUGGG